GGCAGUUUAGUGGACAUAUACUAAAACUGGAACAAUACAGAGAAGAUCAGCAUGGCCCCUGCACAAGGAUGACAUGCAAAUUCAUGAGGCAUUCCAUAUUUUG